rnacentral:rRNA from 1 species
GACCCCAGGUCAUGCGGGACUACCCGCUGAGUUUAAGCAUAUCAUA